UACGGGGGGAGCAAGCGUUGUUCGGAUUUACUGGGCGUAAAGGGCUCGUAGGCGGCCAACUAAGUCAGACGUGAAAUCCCUCAGCUUAACUGGGGAACUGCGUCUGAUACUGGAUGGCUUGGAUUCGGGAGAGGGAUGCGGAAUUCCAGGUGUAGCGGUGAAAUGCGUAGAUAUCUGGAGGAACACCGGUGGCGAAGGCGGCAUCCUGGACCGAUAUUGACGCUGAGGAGCGAAAGCUAGGGGAGCAAACGGG
rnacentral:rRNA from 1 species